UUACGGCCACAUCAAGUUGAAACACUGGUUCCUGUGCGAUCACCAAAGGUAAGCAAUGUUGAGUGUGGCCAGUACCUAGAUGGGUGACUGCUUGGAAAUUCCAGCCGCUGUAAG